GACGAACGCUGGCGGCGUGCUUAACACAUGCAAGUCGAACGGUAAGGCCUUUCGGGGUACACGAGUGGCGAACGGGUGAGUAACACGUGGGUGAUCUGCCCGCACUUUGGAUAAGCCUGGGAAACUGGGUCUAAUACCGAAUAGGACCAUGGACUUCACGGUUUGUGGUGGAAAGCUUUUGCGGUGUGGGAUGGGCCCGCGGCCUAUCAGCUUGUUGGUGGGGUAAUGGCCUACCAAGGCGACGACGGGUAGCCGGCCUGAGAGGGUGACCGGGCCACACUGGGACUGAGAUACGGCCCAGACUCCUACGGGAGGCAGCAGUGGGGAAUAUUGCACAAUGGGCGCAAGCCUGAUGCAGCGACGCCGCGUGAGGGAUGAC
rnacentral:rRNA from 1 species